CAAACCAAACCCGAAAUGAGGCAUUAAAAACGUGUUUAGAUGCCGUAAAUAAAGCCUGUCCUGCCACACGUUGAGCUGCUCCUCCACCUCCGGGCCCUUUGCAGCAGUUGCCUCCCUUUGCAGCGGUUGUGCGGUGCUGGGUGUAGUUCUGAACGGACGACGAGUCGGUGUUGGUUAAUUUAAAACCUUUGCUGGUUGGUGUUCAGUGCUGGUUUUUGGAGCCCACCCCACCUGCCUUGGAUGUGCAUGCGCCCUGAUCGCGUCCCAGGUACGACCGCACGUUUGCUUGUGGUCGAGCGCGCUGUGCAGUGCGAUGCUGACAGGAGGACGGAGGCGGCCCGCCGUGUUUGGCUGCUGUUGUUCUGCCUUCCCCUGGUCGAGGCUCUGCGGUGACUUCGGGGCACAGUUUGACCGUCGUCGGGAUGAAGAAGAAGCUGACACUGCUGCGUCGUCGGUUCCGGAAGCCUCGCGUGGUGUUAGAAUGAACGUGACUCGCAGAUGAAGACGCCUUGAAACGCAAGCUUGCCCUGAUUGCUUUGACAUCCCUUCGCCUGCCGUGGAUAACCAACAUGGUGCUGUCCUGUGGCCGUACAGGAGGGCUGCAGGGCCUCCCAGCUGAAGGAUGCUGUUCCCGGGGCACAGAGCUGUGUAAAUCCCCAAAAACAGCAAAAGGUUUGAGAGGAGAGGAGUGGAUCUGCAGAAGUUGUCCUGAGCUGCAGCGAGGAAGAUUUGGAGCCGUGUGUCAGGACAGCGUGAGGCUCCUGAGCUUUUUGGAUGGAGAUGAGGAGGUGAUGAGGGCACAAGAAAGGUACCCUGCCUAUGCUGAGUCAUUUCUGGGCUGCUGGUGUCAGGCUGUGGGUUGGGUGCUGCAGGAAAGGGGGAAUUCAGAGCUGUUUGCAGAAAGGGGUGGGGUGCAAGCAUGAUGGAGACCCUCAGUUUUCCUAAAUAAGGGUAAGGAAGCAGUGGUGUGUGUCACUGGGUUGGAGAGCAUCUCUGCUCCCACGUCGCUCUGAUUGUUGGGUCUUCCAGCACUGGGCAGUGGGAAGCAAAGCACGUGUGUUAGAGGUGCAGAAUGAGACUGAAGGGUUGUCGGGUUUUGUUUUAGUUUUUAAGCCCUUGGAUUGGAAGGAGCACAAGGGGAGAGGAUGCUCCCCAAAACCCAGGAGGUGGGGGCUGCUGCUGGAGGUAAGAUGGGGAUGCACGCACCCUGUCCUGCUGCAGGUUGGUUCUUAAUGGGGAAAAAGGUGAAAAUGCAGCAGUGCUUGCCUGGGAGAGGUUAGAGCAAGCAGUAGGCAGGUGCUACAAAGCAGACAGAGAGGUCAGUGCAGUGGACCGAGGCUGUGGAUCAGCUCUGUUCACUGCAUUUCAUGAUGCUGGGUAGCAGGAAGCACGGCGCGUGCGUUUGAGGUGAAAAAUGAGAGGGUUGUGGCUUUGUUUGAAGCUCUUGAUUUGGAAAAUCUGAAGCCAAGUGUAGGCCAGCCCUACAGCCCGGACAGUUGCUAUUGUAGCAGCAAAAGUGGCAGUUUUAAUUUGUUCAGCAGGGACACGAGUAGGAGCUUGAAUAUUUCAAGAAGUGAAAACUUAAAUUUGUCAAUGAAAGCUUCAUCUCUGCUGCAGCUCUCAGCCUGAUGCUCGGUGCAGGACUGGCUCACUACCAAUCACGAUGGUCCCACUCACCCCUCUUUAUCCCCUGGUGCCUCAUCUGGUCUGCUUCAGCCUUACAGCCCUGUUGCUCGGAAGCUGACCCACUGGAGAUCCUCCCCCGGCCCCAAGGAUGAGCUGGCACAGCUGAAUCACGUGCUAUAAAGGUGCAAAGGGCAAUUUCUGAAGCAGGUGCUGCCUGUGGAUUUCUGCAGGAGAUGGGCAGGUCUAGGAAAAGCAAGGCAUUUCGGACCACUGAUGCUCCCCAUUGACUGCACAUUCAGAGCUCUCAUACUCCCCUCACUUAAGCAUGCACCAUUUCUUUGGCAUCACUCAGUUGUGUGCCCACUGAAUUUGGCCCAUUACCUGUGAGCCAAUGCUUCUCCCUGCAGCUCCUCGACACCACGGCAGCUUUUUGUGCCAUACAGACCACUUCAUUUGUGCCCUGUGCUUUGAAAUAAUGUUCCUACAGAGGAACAACACUCCUCAUCCAUCCAAAUGGAAGCAGUCAGCGUGGGGCCAACAUGUGGGGUUGGGGCUUUGUGGGUUCUGCUGCUCUGGGGAGAGGAUCCUGAUGGCUGGGUGUGAUUCUGCCCUACUCUGCUCCUGGCUUUAAGGAGAGCGACUUCAGCUCUGAGCCCUUUGCUGCGAUCACUCAUGCAGUGCCCAGCUGUUACUUCAUCCCGUUGGAAGUUCAAAUCUUAUCUCUGCUACCUAUCCCUGUUCCUGCCUCCUUCCCUGCUGCUAAUUAGCUGUAUCUGAGUUAAUAAGCUAAAGCUCCUGCUGUGCUUUGACUCUUGGUGGAUCCCAGCACCAGGGUGGGGGUAUAGGGCAGGAGCUCAGUGGUAGCCCAUAUCCCCAGCCCUGCCAGAGAACACUUCACACUGCAUGUAUUGGUGGCUUUAAUGGCACAUCUGGAUGUACUAGCUGUGCAUGCAACGUCUAACAAUUCUUACUUUGACAUUGCAGGUCUGUGCUGGUAGGCAUCUGGCUGUGGCUGCAACCAAAGCCAGCCCUUCCCGAGCUGCCCUGCAGGAUGGCUUCACUCUGCAUGGAAACGUUGGCUUUCUGCAGCUUCCACCUCUGGGCCAGCGGCUCCAAAAAGAAGGAGACAGGAGAGAGCAGAGCACAGGCACCAGCAAAGAGGAACGAGCAGGCGGGCCAGAAGUAGCUGCUGCAGCAGAUGUGAGGUCCUGCUGGAUAAUGAGAUGCUCUGCACGUGUUGGGCUUUGCAACAUCUGCGCCGCCAUCUCCCCAUUCCCCCAGGCAUGCUGCCUUUUGAGCAGACCCAGUGCAGCAACCUGUCCAAAAUGAGAGAUCCCAGACGAGGGGCUGCGAGCAAACCUGCUUAAUAGUAGCUUUGCUGGCACUUAAAAGGAAAACCCGAAUUCCACAGAGACUCAGGAAUCAGCAGAGAGGCAGGUCGCCUUUUAAAGUGACCUUGAAGUGUUUUGUUUGGUUACGUCUAGUUUCUGGACCUUCAAAUUUAAGUGUGUGUAUCAUCUGUUAUCUGGGUCUUUCGUUUAAUUCUUCCUGCUUGAAUGUAAAAUGUGCAAAGCAAUAGGAGCUGCUGCUGCCUGUCAUAAAUCCUGCAGUAUAUUCCCAAAUCUGGCAUCUGGAUGCAUGGGGUGGGUGAGCAGCACAGUGACCAGCAGAGCUCAGAGCUGCUGCUCAUGUGGAGCAGAAUUCCUUGCAUGACAUCCAUGGAUUUACACCAUUUACAGCAGCAGUUUGGCAUCCAGAUAGACCAGAAAACAACAGCAGCAGAGCCUUGUUCCCAGCAUUACCUGUGGAAUGGUGGGGAAGGAAGCAGUGCUGCUCAGUAUGGGGCUGGGUGACCGAAAGGGACAGAUGCCAAUGCUUUCCUUGCUGGCAUUUACAGAGCCAUGGAGGGCUUUGGGGGAGAAGAGGAAGUCUUGCACAGUGCCCUGUGGGCUCACCAGCUUUCAGUUAUCCCAUGCCUUUGCCAGAUCUCAGCUCUGUCGUUUUUCCUUUUUCUCAGGGAUAUUGCUUGAGCCCAGGAGUGCCUUUCCAGAGGGCAGAGCCCAGGGAAGCACAGUGGGAGGACGUGGCAAUGUGCUCCCCAUGUGUUGUGCAGGAUGGGCUGUCAUCAGAGGUGGGGUCAGCUUCUGCUCUUUGAAGAUCUAUGGGAUGCAAACCAGGGAUGCUGACAUUGUCAACUGUACAACGUAGACAUCCAGAGCAGGGCAUUCCAGUUGUGAUAAGCUCUGAAUCUUUUUAUUAUUAUUUUUUAAAUCUUCGUGAUCUUUCUAAAUGCGGGAUUUUUCUGGGUGUUUUUUAAUUUACAGAAGCUCUGCUUAGCGCUGAAGCUUCAGUUUCCCCUCCUGGCUGGCAGUGCCAUGCAGGUGAUGCUCUGAGCACAGCACAUCUUUCAGAGCCUGCGUGCCUCUUCCCUGAGCAACAAGGGCCAAAUCCUGCCGCAGGGAGCUGAGUGCCUGCAACACACAGCAGAGCAGUGGUUCUACAAGCUGGUUGGGUUGUUGGGAUUGCAGAGCUGCUCUGUGAGGGGCCUGGCACCUCUGGGUUUUGUUUGCUGCACGUUUCCUAACAGCAAUGCCUAGCACAAAGGCAGCCACGCUGGAAGUGAGAGCAUUUUAAUCCUUGUGCCAAUGCUGCUUUCAGAUGAUUCCUUCCUCUCCCCCUUUACCUCCCACGUUUGUUGGAGCUGGAGUUGCUGUGUGCUGGCUGCUGGAAUCAGUUUUGUAAUCUUGAAUCACAUCAUUUGAUUGGUGAUGUUUGUUUGUUUGUUUGUUUUUUCCCUUUUGCAGUUUGUUACUGAUUUCUCCUCCUUAGGAAAUAGGAUGUGCCUUCUCCUCGGCUCUCUUGUAGCUUGCCAAAAUGAUGUUUGUUCUGCCUUGUUCUGCUGUUCAGGAGGGCAGGAGCACCCAGCAGCGAGGAGCCUCAGCCCUGGCUUAAGGGCUUCCAGUUAACCAGAUUUGCACAAAAGCCACCCACGGAUGUGUACGGGUAGGAGACUGAUCCAGAAGAAGGUGUUACUACUGGAUGCUGGUGGUGGGUAUGUGAGACGUGUAAAGUUUACAUUACCUGCUAGAGGAGGUCCACCAACAGCUGCUAUCCCAGCAAAGAAGGAAGCAAAGCCCAAAUAGCUGUGGAGUUUUUGCACGCCGACCAGGUCUACCUGUUGGUGUAAAUGCAGGUAAAUAUCGGUGGGGGUUCGUGGGAGGCACAGAAGACCUUUUGUGGAGGAGUUCAUCUCUGGAUGCUGUGGGGUUUGGGGAGGACUUUGCACCUCUGGUGUGACUCAGCCUGGAAUCUGCUCGCCUCCCAAAGGUGAGCGCUGAAAUUACAGCAUGCAAAGUGCACUUCUGUCUUCCCACCGUUUGGGGACAUCCUGGGAGGGCAGGCCAAGCUGCAAAAGUGUUUCCCUAUCCAGAUCCCACUGUACCCAUUCUGUGUGUGUUACAGACAGCCCGAGGCUUGGGACCACGCUUACAGCCCUUUGGCUUUGCAUUACAGGUAGUCAGUGAAUGGAUUCGUUCUGCUUCCUAAGAGCUUUUAGAAAGGAGGAUGUGGAAGGCAAUUCAAGGAGCUCCCAGUGCUGCUGCUGCAUCCCAUUGACAGGGCUGGGCAGACUGGAGUCCUGCCAUAGGGAUUUGGAGGCAGACCCCUCUCACUGCAGCCCACAAGAGCACAUCAGGGCUCUUCAGCCUUACAAAAAGCACAGGGAGCACCAGAGCCAGGAAUCCACCGCAGAAGAUGGCAAAGGCCACAGCAUAGGUCAUGAGCAGAGGAAAGGUGGUGGCCAGGGGGCAGAGCAGGUUGGUGACGCCGCAGAGCACCAGGUAAGCUGCGUGGUAAUGGUACUUCUUGGUCCAAUUCUGGUCUGCAAUCCAGCCUGAGAGCAGCUGGCUGCCCGUCUCGGUGAUGCCUGCAGGAAGAGGUCACUGAGCCUCAGGGAAAGGUUUCUUACAUAGAUAGAUAUCUAUAUUUUUCCCAACUUUUGGUGCUUGUUUUCACAUUUUUGGAUGCGUUUGUGUAAAAUGAAGAUCAGAGCAGUGGGGGCCGUCAGCUCAUCGUGCUGCGUCCCUCCUGCUCUUAAUUAAGGGCGUCAGAUUAAUUGCUGUGAGCUCCUCCUCAAUUCCUUCACAACAUUACCUCAUUUCUACACGUUGCACAGCGCUGUGGAAGGAAGAUUUAUUUUUAUACAAUAAAAUGUUUUAUGAUGGCUGAG